rnacentral:lncRNA from 1 species
GAUCAGCAGCACAGGCUCUGGUGCUGAAGGGCCUCCGCUGCCUGCUGCUGCAGAAAGCCUGGUUGCAGCACACCGGGGUGCUUUGGGUGUCACAAGAGUUGCCCAGGUUGCUUUGUCUGCAGGACGUUCUGCAAGGUAAUAGCAACGUGCACUGCUGCCUGUUUUUCAGCACUAAAUAAUCCGCUAUUAAACAGUCACUUUGUUCUGUUUAUUUGUUCCCUAGCUAUUUUUCCUUUUUUUUUUUUUUUUUUUUUUUCUUACCCCCUCAUUUUUCCUUUCCUGCUUCUGCGGUGGCUUUCACAUCCUACGUGCUUAUUUUUUAUUUAAAAUCAUCAUACUUUCAUUCCACCAAGCAGAUGCUCUGAAGGUCUCUCAGAAAUCUUUGAUGUUCUUUAUUUUUUCCCUCAGCAGGCCAAGCUGGGAAAAUGUUACCAUAAAGCAUUAACUGCAUGCAUAAAAGAGGAUCAACAGCCUUGCUUUCCAUGAUUUCAGACUAUUAAAUGCUGAAAACUACCCACUAAAUGGUAUUAUUUUCAGUAGCUAAACAGUCAAUAGAUUCUUCACAAGCAAAGGCUGUAUUGCAUGGAAAAAACUGGUGGCUGAUGACAGCAUGAAAUUAAUUCACUUCUGUUUUGAGCAUGUUUUCCUGCAAAGCAGUCAUCCUGGAUCAUUACCCAAGCUGGUCUGUGGGCUUCUGCUACCUGCAUCUUGCUGAGAUGAAAACAGCUUUUAUGAGAGCAAAGGAGACUUCUUCAGGUGUCUGGAAACAGUGGUUCUUGGGCUGGUCCUUGCGGUCUGAACAACCUUUCCUCUGCUGAAGAUUUGUUGACAUGCAGCAAUUCAUUUCAAUUCUUCAUUUCCCAAAGAAAAGGAGCAUGCUGUUUUUGUCAGAUACACCCUGGUACAGGUAACUCAAGAUGAGGUAGGUUCACUUCCAAUCGAUGAAAAGUUGCUGGUUCUAUAUCAUGAAUAACUGAAUAUUUUUGUUGUAUUGUAUAAAGUCUUAAGGCUGUGGGGACUCAUGCUUCAUUGCUCACCCAGUGUGAAAGCAGAAUAUUCGGUAUGUGCAUUUAUCUUCAUCAGUUAUCCAAGUAGCAACCUCAGUUAGUGUCACAAUGCUUGAUUUUCCUGGAAUGCUGUUGUAUUUCCUUAUAGCUUGACUGGAUUCAAAAUACAGAGGACUCUGUCAUACUGAGGCAUGUAGUUAUUUCUUGGCCUACUAUUAUUGAUAACAUCUGUCUCGUUAUUAUAAUCUAGUUCUCUGCUACACUGGAAGCCAAGAAAUGUGGUGCUUUGGGAUCAAAACUAUUGCUGGUUGUAUUCUUGAAAAAAAAACUAUUUUUUUUUUUAGAUGGAACUAUUUAAAUCUCCAUGAAUUGUGAAAUGAGAUCAAUUGCACUGACACAGAACCAAAGUAUUUUCAAAACAAUUUUAGAACUGUUUUAAUAUUGGCCUUCUUAAAUCUUGGGUUGGAUACAACCUGUGUUACAUUCCCUUCCUCCCAACCUGCCCCACCUCCUUCCAAAAAUGCUUCAGUUCACUGUUUGAACAAAAACACUUAAAAACAACUCAAUGGGAUGAUAGAAACUUCCAAAUAAAACAUUUGGAGUUCAUCA